rnacentral:rRNA from 1 species
CCUACGGGUGGCAGCAGUGGGGAAUAUUGCACAAUGGGGGAAACCCUGAUGCAGCGACGCCGCGUGAAGGAAGAAGUAUUUCGGUAUGUAAACUUCUAUCAGCAGGGAAGAAAAUGACGGUACCUGACUAAGAUUCCCCGGCUAACUACGUGCCAGCAGCCGCGGUAAUACGUAGGGGGCAAGCGUUAUCCGGAUUUACUGGGUGUAAAGGGAGCGUAGGCGGCGAUGCAAGUCAGAAGUGAAAGCCCGGGGCUCAACUCCGGGACUGCUGUUGAAACUGUGUUGCUAGAGUGCAGGAGAGGUAAGUGGAAUUCCUAGUGUAGCGGUGAAAUGCGUAGAUAUUAGGAGGAACACCAGUGGCGAAGGCGGCUUACUGGACUGUAAAUGACGCUGAGGCUCGAAAGCGUGGGGAGCAAACAGGAUUAGAUACCCCAGUAGUC